rnacentral:lncRNA from 1 species
GUUCCACCAAACAUGGACAACAAUUGUUCAGCUUUGCAUUGCCCUGGCUAUUCUGUACAAUGCGGUCGGUGCUGCAAUGUUUUCGUCAUUGGUUGUCAUCAUUAUCACUGUACUCUGCAACGCUCCAUUGGCCAAACUGCAACACAGAUUUCAGAGUAAACUUAUGGAAGCACAAGAUGAGAGAUUGAAGACCAUGUCUGAGUCACUAGUUCACAUGAAGGUCUUGAAACUUUAUGCGUGGGAAGCUCACUUCAAGAAGGUCAUCGAGGGGUUGAGGGAGGUUGAGUACAAGUGGUUGUCAGCAUUCCAGCUUAGU